AACGAACGCUGGCGGCAUGCCUAACACAUGCAAGUCGAACGAGACCUUCGGGUCUAGUGGCGCACGGGUGCGUAACGCGUGGGAAUCUACCCUUGGGUUCGGAAUACAGUUAGAAAUGACUGCUAAUACCGGAUGAUGACGUAAGUCCAAAGAUUUAUCGCCCAAGGAUGAGCCCGCGUAAGAUUAGCUUGUUGAUGGGGUAAUGGCCUACCAAGGCGACGAUCUUUAGCUGGUCUGAGAGGAUGAUCAGCCACACUGGGACUGAGACACGGCCCAGACUUAUUAAAGGCAGCAGUGGGGAAUAUUGGACAAUGGGAGAAAUCCUGAUCCAGCAAUGUUGCUAGGAUGAUUAAAAACUGUAAAAAUAACCAGGUUUUAAAAUUCUGUUGCCAAGGAAGAUAAUGACAUUACUUGGAAAAGUAGCUCCGGCCAACUUUGUGCCAGCCGCCGCCGUAA
rnacentral:rRNA from 1 species